CUUAACCAACUGAGCCAGCCACAUACUGAGACGUCUAAUAAUCUUUCUAUUAUCAUCUUUCUAUAUAUCAAAAAAAUAUUUUUUUUUCCAGGUGAGGUUUUAGGGUUAUUAGGACUUAACGGAACCAGUAAAAGCACAUCCAUUAGGACGUUAACUGGAGACACCAAACCAAGUGCAGGACAGGUAGGUAGAUGAGAUGAAUAAUAUGUAAUCCAAAACACCCAGGAUAAAGUCAAUUUGAAGAUCUAAUUGGCUUUAUUAAGCAAUUGAUGAUUUGGGCAGCAUCCCAUCUAGCAAGACGAGAGACAUUCUUCUCCCCUCUAUUGAUCGCAUCUGUGGUCACUGUGACGCAUCUUUCUCUUCUCCAACCUGAGUGUCCCAACUUUCCAGCCCGUGUGGUCAUUCACAGUAUGCCCCAGAUUGGCACGGUGGCUGCUAUUGGCCUGGGACAUGUGGUGGCCCAUUUCCAAUCCACUGGGCUCCAAUAGGGACCCUAACUGUGCCUCCCAGGCUGUUUUGUUGAACCAGAAGUAUUUUCAACUCUAUUAGGGGCAAACUGUAAUUAAUGGCUUCUGAAAAAAAGCCCAAGAGGCUAUCUGUUCCUUAGACAACCAUAGACAACCAUAGCUGUCUUCACUCUAAUCUCCUGAUGUCUGCCUUUUCCACAGGUUUCUUCUUCCCACAACUUCCUGCCGCUGUGCCGAGUCUACUAAAGCUCACGUGCAGGGAAGGAAAACUUCUCAGGAUGUCUCCUCCCUUAAACAGAGAUCUCACAAAGUGGACAACAACCAAAGAUAACACACGCUCUUCCCCCCGCAAACCUGAGCAAACACGUUUGUGUGUUUAGCUAUAAGACGCUCUGUCCAUCACUCCAUUUAAGAUUUGCCUAUAUUUUCUGUUUGUACCCUAAGGUGAUGUCGUAAACCAUCCAGAUUGAAAAAAGAUGAGCUCCUAAGACCUGGCCGUCCUUCUGCAGUUAAAUAGAGCUUCAACCUGGAGGAGUACAGCCUCUUGCCUCCCAGCCUAGAGCAGUAGGAGUAUGUGUUGGAGGAGGUCACAAGGAGGACAGGACUGCCCCAGGCCCCCAGGGCUGGCCCCAGCAAUCCCAGGCUGCUUGCCUCCUCCCUGGUCCCUGGAAUGUGUGACCCACCCGCCUCACCCAUGCCAGAGCUGUUUUGAAGAUCUCAGCCUUCAGAAAGCAAUGUGCUGUUGAGACCAUAUGGAGGGUGUACACGACUGAACCCCAUUAAGGCCUUUGUGUAAACAAUUAAGAUUCUGGUGGCCGUUGUGGAGAUCUCCCUGUCUGGCCGCGUGGGAAACAAGCCUCCUAAGUUGUAUGGAACUCAAAUGAGAAACCGCAGGUGGAAGUUUUGUAAACCACAAAGCUCUUUAUGCAGAUUUUCUACUGAAGCAGAAUGCACAUUCACACAAUGUGUGACCUUGACAACACAAAGUGAUUUCCAUUAACUCCUAAAAUCUUCACUGGUAGGUCACAGACUGGUAAGUCUCUGAUCCAUUCUCCAAGGACAAGAAGCCCACACAACGAAACAUUCUCAUUUUAACAGAAUUUUCCCACCCUUGGCCUCUCCUGUACCAUAGGGCAUAUAGAUCACAUGAUGGGAGUGGCAACUGUUUGCAGAACACUCUGAAGUAAAGUCCGUUCCUACUCCAGGCUUCACUCAAAGAUGGCAGCCUUCCCAGUGAGGCAGUGCAUGGGCUGGAGAGUAUUACUAGGUACUGGUCUUCUAUUGGUAGAGGAUGCAAGAUGUGGCAAUUCAUCUCUUACUUUGGAGGAGAUAUGCAGAGCACCCCUGACCACUAGACCGAGAACGCCUUCAGUGACGUGAUGGGUUCCUUAUCCUCAGAUGAUUUGUCUCCUACUCUCUGGAGCAUUUGUGUCUUCCCCAUGUGAACAGUG